rnacentral:rRNA from 1 species
UACAGAGGUCUCAAGCGUUGUUCGGAUUCAUUGGGCGUAAAGGGUGCGUAGGUGGCGCCGUAAGUCGGAUGUGAAAUUUCGGAGCUUAACUCCGAAACUGCAUUCGAUACUGCGGUGCUUGAGGACUGGAGAGGAGACUGGAAUUCAUGGUGUAGCAGUGAAAUGCGUAGAGAUCAUGAGGAAGACCAGUGGCGAAGGCGGGUCUCUGGGCCAUAACUGACGCUGAGGAGCGAAAGCGUGGGGAGCGAACAGG